CCCUGAGGAGCUGAAAUUCUAGGCACAGGCCUAGUUGGAACUGCUUCUGAUGGGAGUUUAUGUGUAUCUCAGAGGAGAAGUCUUAUGAACUUGGGUUUGAUAUGCCCAGAAAUGGAUCCAUAGCAACUUCCAGGAGAAGAUAGUCACACCAGACAAUUGAACCAAUUUUUGGUGGUUGCACCUGGACACUGAAGCCACCGUUUUCCAGAUUGUUUGCUUGGUUGUUUCCUCUGCCAGAUAUCUAUGUUUAUUGCUCUACCCUGAGGCUCAUCAUCUCAGGAAUCAGUGAAAUGUUUCCAAGAAUGGAUGGAACAGAUGUUGGGCAUGAGGCUGAGACACGCCCUGGAAGGUAA